rnacentral:rRNA from 1 species
CAGCAGCCGCGGUAAUACGAAGGGUGCAAGCGUUAAUCGGAAUUACUGGGCGUAAAGCGUGCGUAGGCGGUGGGUUAAGUCUGCUGUGAAAUCCCCGGGCUCAACCUGGGAAUGGCAGUGGAUACUGGCUCGCUAGAGUGUGUCAGAGGAUGGUGGAAUUCCCGGUGUAGCGGUGAAAUGCGUAGAGAUCGGGAGGAACAUCAGUGGCGAAGGCGGCCAUCUGGGACAACACUGACGCUGAGGCACGAAAGCGUGGGGAGCAAACAGGAUUAGAUACCCCCGUAGUCCCUGUCUCUUAUAA